AGAGAGACCUCCUCACCCUCUUUUUCUUUCUUUCUUUUCCAGCAAGAGACAAAGGAUCCAACAGUUUAGACCAGGGGAGCAUCCAGGCCGUUAGCAGCCUCCUUGCAGGGGACACGCCCAGCAUAAAGAUAGAGGAAUGAGGAGGGAUCAGCCUUCGUCUGAAUUAGGCCGGACUCUUAGCAGGAGCCCUUCAGGCCCUUCCUGCAUGCUGGAACCAGGAGAGAUUUUGGGUCUUUCAUCACUUCUUUUAUCAAUGAAUCAGUAACCUUUUUCUUUUAUGAUGAUUGAGGAUCACAGGAGAAAAGAAUAUAUUAUGUGUUACUAAUUGUGGGAUCAAAAGAUUUCAAAUUGGGUUUUGUAGAUAAUAGUUUCUAAUAGGUAGGUUGCCUAAGAGCCUUAAUGGGCUUUUGCUGAUUAGUCUGCGUGGAUGGAGAUUAGAGGUUAAAGAUGAGGUUUUAGAGAUGGGUUGAUAGAGAAUGGAGAAUGAGGAAUAGGAUGAAGAGUUCGUUGGUUUUACUUUAAGAAAGAUUGAUGAGUUAAUUUUCAUUAUGCUUGUUGCAGAUAAAGGUGGAGGUUGAUUUUUCUUUUUUCCCCUUGUGUUAGUUUUAUCUGUUUAAUCUAACCUUCGAUGAAACUAUUGCUAAAUUGGGUUUUUAAAUGGUUUUUAAAUGGUUUUUAGUUGGGAGUUUUAAAUUCGGCCAAAACUGAUUGAAUUAUUUUAAAUGGUUUUUAAAUUUUGUCUCGUUAUUGUUUUAACAUGGCUGUACACCGCCCUGAGUCCUUCGGGAGAAGGGCGGUAUAAAAAUAUAAUAAAAUAAAUAAAAUAAGUGUGCAUUCUGAGAUUUUUUUCAUUAAAAUGGUUGAUGCAUUUUAAUUGAUUAUUGCACGGUUAUUUGAUUAUAUAUUUGAUAACACAAAGUUUGACAAUCCAUAUACUGAGUGUAACAUUAGACACUGAUUUUUUUAUAAAUUGCCAUUUAUGGAUUUUCAUGAUUUAGAAAAAUGGAACAUGAGAUCCAUUGCAGUCAGGCUGCUACCUCCUUAACAAUGGCACAUAUAUUGUAAGUUUGCCAAAAUCGUUUGCUGAAAAUAAAUGAUUUCUUUUCCUCUUG